CAAUACGUAUUUAGUGGCGGACGGGUGAGUAACACGUUGGUACCUACCCCGAAGUGGGGAAUAACUGACCCGAAAGGGUAGCUAAUACCGCAUAUUGUGCGCCUUGUGCGCAUGAAAGCAGUAAUGCGCUUCGGGAGGGGCCUGCGUCCCAUUAGCUAGUUGGUAGGGUAAAAGCCUACCAAGGCGACGAUGGGUAGCUGGAUCGAGAGGUUGACCAGCCACACUGGGACUGAGAUACGGCCCAGACUCCGUACGGGAGGCAGCAGUAAGAAUCUUCCAACAAGUGGACGAAAGUCUGAUGGAGCAACACCGCGUGCAGGAUGACGGCCUUAGGGUUGUAAACUGCUUUUAUAGAUGAAGAUUAUGACGGUAAUCUAUGAAUAAGGACCGGCUAACUACGUG
rnacentral:rRNA from 1 species